ACAAGACAAGAACGACUGUUACUAUACUGCUAAGAAAAAAAUAUAAAGUCAGGUUUUCAAAAGGAGAGAGAGAGAAAAACGACAAGAGGGUCAAUUUGUAGCCCAGUUUGUCUCCAAGAGAGGAAGCUAAAUGAAAGCAGUUUGAACAGGGAGUUCAAAGUUCAAGUUGCAGCGACAAGAGGAGGAAAUGCUGAUAAAAGGCCAGAGGUGUUCAGCAAGUUGGCUUACACUACAGCUGAUCUAGUAGUUGGUGCAGGGCAGGAAGUAGCUGUUUCUCAGCAGACGCAGCAUCCGCCCCGU